CUACGGGUUGCACCAGUGGGGAAUAUUGCACAAUGGGCGCAAGCCUGAUGCAGCCAUGCCGCGUGUAUGAAGAAGGCCUUCGGGUUGUAAAGUACUUUCAGCGGGGAGGAAGGGAGUAAAGUUAAUACCUUUGCUCAUUGACGUUACCCGCAGAAGAAGCACCGGCUAACUCCGUGCCAGCAGCCGCGGUAAUACGGAGGGUGCAAGCGUUAAUCGGAAUUACUGGGCGUAAAGCGCACGCAGGCGGUUUGUUAAGUCAGAUGUGAAAUCCCCGGGCUCAAACUGGGAACUGCAUCUGAUAAUGGCAAGCUUGAGUCUCGUAGAGGGGGGUAGAAUUCCAGGUGUAGCGGUGAAAUGCGUAGAGAUCUGGAGGAAUACCGGUGGCGAAGGCGGCCCCCUGGACGAAGACUAACGCUCAGGUGCGAAAGCGUGGGGAGCAAACAGGAUUAGAUACCCUCGUAGUC
rnacentral:rRNA from 1 species